GAUGAACGCUGGCGGCGUGCCUAAUACAUGCAAGUCGAGCGAACAGAUGAGGAGCUUGCUCCUCUGACGUUAGCGGCGGACGGGUGAGUAAAACGUGGAUAACCUACCUAUAAGACUGGGAUAACUUCGGGAAACCGGAGCUAAUACCGGAUAAUAUAUUGACCCGCAUGGUUCAAUAGUGAAAGACGGUUUUGAUGUCACUUAUAGAUGGCUCCGCGCCGCAUUAGCUAGUUGGUAAGGUAACGGCUUACCAAGGCAACGAUGCGUAGCCGACCUGAGAGGGUGAUCGGCCACACUUGAACAGAGACACGUUCCAGACUCCUGCGGGAGGCAGCAGUAGGCAGUCUUCCGCAAUGGACGAAAGCUUGACAGAGCAACGCCGCGUAAGUAAUGAAGGGCUUCGUGUCGUAGAACUCUGUUAUUAGGGAAGAACAAAUAUGUAAGUAACUGUGCACGUCUUGACGUUACCUAAUCAGAAAGCCACGGCUAACUACGCG
rnacentral:rRNA from 1 species